AUGGGCAGCGGGCGCAGCACGGGGGUCAGCCGCUGGGCCGCCCUGGGCAUGCUGCUGGCGCUGGGCGCUGCACUCCUGGCUGCGGGCUUGGCCAGCAAGUACGACUAGUUGAGCUUCCAGUCGGACAUCGGCUCCUACCAGAGCGGGCGCUUCUACACCAAGCCGCCGCAGUGCGUGGACAUCCCCGCGGACCUGCGGCCGUGCCACAACGUGGGCUAUAAAAAGGUGGUGCUGCCCAACCUGCUGGAGCACGAGACCAUGGCGGAGGUGAAGCAGCAGGCCAGCAGCUGGGUGCCCCUGCUUAACAAGAACUGCCACGCCGGCACCCAGGUCUUCCUCUGCUCUUUCUUCACCCCCGUCUGCCUGGACCGGCCCAUCCACCCGUGCCGCUGGCUCUGCGAGGCCGUGCGUGACUCAUGUGAGACGGUCAUGCAGUUCUUCGGCUUCCACUGGCCCGAGAUGCUCAAGUGUGACAAGUUCCCUGAGGGGGACGUCUGCAUCGCCACGACCCCGCCCAAUGCCACCGAAGCCUCCAAGCCCCAAGGCACAACUGCGUGUCCUCCAUGUGACAACGAGUUGAAAUCCGAGGCCAUCAUUGAACAUCUCUGCGCCAGCGAGUUUGCACUGAGGAUGAAAAUAAAAGAAGUGAAAAAAGAAAACGGCGACAAAAAGAUUGUCCCCAAGAAGAAGAAGCCCCUGAAGUUGGGGCCCAUCAAGAAGGACCUGAAGAAGCUCGUGCUGUACCUGAAGAACGGGGCCGACUGUCCCUGCCACCACCCGGACAACCUCAGCCACCAUUUCCUCAUCAUGGGCCGCAAGGUGAAGAGCCAGUACUUGCUGACGGCCAUCCACAAGUGGGACAAGAAAAACAAGGAGUUCAAAAUGAAAAACCACAAAUUGCCCAACCUUCAGGGGGGUGUUUAG